UAGGGGGCGAGCGUUAUCCGGAUUCAUUGGGCGUAAAGCGCGCGUAGGCGGUCUUUUAAGCGGGACCUCUAAUCUCAGUGCUCAACCUUGAGCCGGGUUCCGAACUAAAAGACUCGAGUGUGGUAGGGGAGAUCGGAAUUCCCGGUGUAGCGGUGGAAUGCGCAGAUAUCGGGAAGAACACCGAUGGCGAAGGCAGAUCUCUGGGCCAUUACUGACGCUGAGGCGCGAAAGCUAGGGGAGCAAA
rnacentral:rRNA from 1 species